UACGGAGGGAGCUAGCGUUGUUCGGAAUUACUGGGCGUAAAGCGCACGUAGGCGGCGAUUCAAGUCAGAGGUGAAAGCCCGGGGCUCAACCCCGGAACUGCCUUUGAAACUAGAUUGCUAGAAUCCUGGAGAGGUGAGUGGAAUUCCGAGUGUAGAGGUGAAAUUCGUAGAUAUUCGGAAGAACACCAGUGGCGAAGGCGGCUCACUGGCCCGGUACUGACACUGAGAUGCGAAAGCGUGGGGAGCAAACAGG
rnacentral:rRNA from 1 species